AAUUGCCAUUGGAUGCAAUCAGGUUUAUGUACUAUGUGUACAUACUGAAUACUGUCGGAAGUUCUUUUAUCCUGAGCUAAUGCUAAUUAGAAAAGUUUUGUUUAUUAUAUUUUCUUAAAAGUGCCGUUAUAUGAGUAUACUUGGAUAUUUUUAUAGAAUAUAUUUUCAUAAAAGUUCCGCUACAUGAUUUCCAUUUUCUGACCUGUGCUUUGAAUUUAACUGAGUGUAAUUGGAUAUACUCUUGACAUUAGGGUGCAGUAUGUGGUAUAACUCAGUGUGGGUCAGUUGUGGGUCUGUGUCCACAAAGGCACCUUUUCAAAAUCAAUUUUAAAUCAGGAGCUGCUCAAAAAGAAAA